rnacentral:rRNA from 1 species
AAGUAAUUAAGUGCAUGUGGUGGAUGCCUUGGCAGUCAGAGGCGAUGAAAGACGUGAUAGCCUGCGAAAAGCUCCGGGGAGGCGGCAAAUAUCCUUUGAUCCGGAGAUGUCUGAAUGGGGGAACCCACCUACUUUAAGGUAGGUAUUGCAACAUGAAUACAUAGUGUUGCAAGGCGAACGAGGGGAAGUGAAACAUCUCAGUACCCUUAGGAAAAGAAAUCAAUUGAGAUUCCCUCAGUAGCGGCGAGCGAACGGGGAUCAGCCCAUUAGUUAUGUGUGUUUUAGUGGAACGCUCUGGGAAGUGCGAACGUAGAGGGUGAUAUUCCCGUACACGAAAGGGCACACAUAAUGAUGACGAGUAGGGCGAGGCACGUGAAACCUUGUCUGAAUAUGGGGGGACCAUCCUCCAAGGCUAAAUACUCCUGACUGACCGAUAGUGAACCAGUACCGUGAGGGAAAGGCGAAAAGAACCCCUGUGAGGGGAGUGAAAUAGAUCCUGAAACCGCAUGCAUACAAGCAGUGGGAGCACCUUCGUGGUGUGACUGCGUACCUUUUGUAUAAUGGGUCAGCGACUUAUAUUCAGUAGCGAGGUUAACCGUAUAGGGGAGCCGUAGAGAAAUCGAGUCUUAAUAGGGCGUUUAGUUGCUGGGUAUAGACCCGAAACCAGGCGAUCUAUCCAUGAGCAGGUUGAAGGUUGGGUAACACUAACUGGAGGACCGAACCCACUGUCGUUGAAAAGCCAGGGGAUGACUUGUGGAUAGGGGUGAAAGGCUAAUCAAGCCUGGUGAUAGCUGGUUCUCCCCGAAAGCUAUUUAGGUAGCGCCUCGGACGAAUACCAUAGGGGGUAGAGCACUGUUUCGGCUAGGGGGUCAUCCCGACUUACCAAACCGAUGCAAACUCCGAAUACCUAUGAGUACUAUCCGGGAGACAGACUGCGGGUGCUAACGUCCGUAGUCAAGAGGAAAACAAUCCAGACCGCCAGCUAAGGCCCCAAAAUCAUAGUUAAGUGGGAAACGAUGUGGGAAGGCAUAGACAGCUAGGAGGUUGGCUUAGAAGCAGCCACCCUUUAAAGAAAGCGUAAUAGCUCACUAGUCGAGUCGGCCUGCGCGGAAGAUGUAACGGGGCUAAAACUAUGUGCCGAAGCUGCGGAUGUAUACUUUGUAUACGUGGUAGGGGAGCGUUCUGUAAGCCGAUGAAGGUGUGUUGAGAAGCAUGCUGGAGGUAUCAGAAGUGCGAAUGCUGACGUGAGUAACGACAAAACGGGUGAAAAACCCGUUCGCCGAAAGACCAAGGGUUCCAGUCCAACGUUAAUCGGGGCUGGGUGAGUCGACCCCUAAGGCGAGGCCGAAAGGCGUAGUCGAUGGGAAAAUGGUUAAUAUUCCAUUACUUCUGUGUAAUGCGAUGAGAGGACGGAGAAGGCUAAAUCAGCCUGGCGUUGGUUGUCCAGGUGAAAGGAUGUAGGCAUGUAUCUUAGGCAAAUCCGGGGUACUCUAUGCUGAGAUCUGAUAGCAAGCUGUACUUGUACAGCGAAGUGGUUGAUGCCAUGCUUCCAGGAAAAGUCUCUAAGCUUCAGUUACACAGGAAUCGUACCCGAAACCGACACAGGUGGUCAGGUCGAGUAGACCAAGGCGCUUGAGAGAACUCUGCUGAAGGAACUAGGCAAAAUGGUACCGUAACUUCGGGAGAAGGUACGCUGUUGUUGGUGAUGGAACUCGCUUCCUGAGCUGACGACAGCCGCAGAAACCAGGCCGCUGCAACUGUUUAUUAAAAACAUAGCACUCUGCAAACACGAAAGUGGACGUAUAGGGUGUGAUGCCUGCCCGGUGCUGGAAGGUUAAUUGAUGGGGUUAGCGUAAGCGAAGCUCUUGAUCGAAGCCCCAGUAAACGGCGGCCGUAACUAUAACGGUCCUAAGGUAGCGAAAUUCCUUGUCGGGUAAGUUCCGACCUGCACGAAUGGCAUAAUGAUGGCGGCGCUGUCUCCAGCAGAGGCUCAGUGAAAUCGAAAUCGCUGUGAAGAUGCAGUGUACCCGCGGCUAGACGGAAAGACCCCGUGAACCUUUACUGCAGCUUGACACUGAACUUUGACCUUACUUGUGUAGGAUAGGUGGGAGGCUUUGAAGCUGGAACGCUAGUUCCAGUGGAGCCGUCCUUGAAAUACCACCCUGGUAAUGUUGAGGUUCUAACUCUGUCCCGUGAUCCGGGACGAGGACCGUGUCUGGUGGGUAGUUUGACUGGGGCGGUCUCCUCCUAAAGAGUAACGGAGGAGUACGAAGGUGCGCUCAGCGUGGUCGGAAAUCACGCGUAGAGUAUAAAGGCAAAAGCGCGCUUAACUGCGAGACCCACAAGUCGAGCAGGUACGAAAGUAGGUCUUAGUGAUCCGGUGGUUCUGUAUGGAAGGGCCAUCGCUCAACGGAUAAAAGGUACUCUGGGGAUAACAGGCUGAUACCGCCCAAGAGUUCAUAUCGACGGCGGUGUUUGGCACCUCGAUGUCGGCUCAUCUCAUCCUGGGGCUGAAGCAGGUCCCAAGGGUAUGGCUGUUCGCCAUUUAAAGAGGUACGCGAGCUGGGUUUAGAACGUCGUGAGACAGUUCGGUCCCUAUCUACCGUGGGCGCUGGAAAUUUGAGAGGAUCUGCUCCUAGUACGAGAGGACCAGAGUGGACGAACCUCUGGUGUACCGGUUGUGACGCCAGUCGCAUCGCCGGGUAGCUAUGUUCGGAAGGGAUAACCGCUGAAAGCAUCUAAGCGGGAAGCCUACCUCAAGAUAAGAUUUCCCUAGGACUUUAUGUCCUCUAAAGAGCCGUUCGAGACUAGGACGUUGAUAGGUUGGAUGUGGAAGCAUAGUGAUAUGUGAAGCUGACCAAUACUAAUUGCUCGUGAGGCUUGACUAU